rnacentral:rRNA from 1 species
UACAGAGGUCCCAAGCGUUGUUCGGAUUCAUUGGGCGUAAAGGGUGCGUAGGUGGCGCGCUAAGUCAGGUGUGAAAUUUCGGAGCUUAACUCCGAAACUGCAUUUGAUACUGGCGUGCUUGAGGACUGGAGAGGAGACUGGAAUUCCUGGUGUAGCGGUGAAAUGCGCAGAUAUCAGGAAGAACACCCGUGGCGAAGGCGGCUCUCUGGGACGGUACUGACGCUGAGACGCGAAAGCGUGGGGAGCGAACAGG